rnacentral:rRNA from 1 species
GACGAACGCUGGCGGCGUGCCUAACACAUGCAAGUCGAACGGAGUAUCCAGCAAUGGAUGCUUAGUGGCGAACGGGUGAGUAACGCGUAGACAACCUGCCUCUAAAUUGGGGACAACACCGCGAAAGUGGUGCUAAUACCGAAUGUGGUACCUUGAUCGCAUGAUCGAGAUAAGAAAGGUGGCCUCUACUUAUAAGCUACCGAAUAGAGAUGGGUUGGCGUCUGAUUAGCUAGUUGGUGAGGUAAUGGCUCACCAAGGCGACGAUCAGUAGCCGGUCUGAGAGGAUGAACGGCCACACUGGGACUGAGACACGGCCCAGACUCCUACGGGAGGCAGCAGUGGGGAAUCUUCCGCAAUGGACGAAAGUCUGACGGAGCAACGCCGCGUGAGUGAAGAAGGUCUUCGGAUUGUAAAGCUCUGUCGUUUGGGACGAACGUGCUUAUUGUGAAUAAUGAUAAGUAAUGACGGUACCAAAGGAGGAAGCCACGGCUAACUACGUGCCAGCAGCCGCCGUAA